rnacentral:tRNA from 1 species
GUAGUUGUGGCCGAGUGGUUAAGGCGAUGUACUAGAAAUCCAUUGGGUUCUGCCCGCGCUGGUUCGAAUCCUGCCGACUACG